rnacentral:rRNA from 1 species
GAUGAACGCUGGCGGCGUGCCUAAUACAUGCAAGUCGAGCGAACGGACGAGAAGCUUGCUUCUCUGAUGUUAGCGGCGGACGGGUGAGUAACACGUGGAUAACCUACCUAUAAGACUGGGAUAACUUCGGAAAACCGGAGCUAAUACCGGAUGAUAUUUUGAACCGCAUGGUUCAAAAGUGAAAGACGGUCUUGCUGUCACUUAUAGAUGGAUCCGCGCUGCAUUAGCUAGUUGGUAAGGUAACGGCUUACCAAGGCAACGAUGCAUAGCCGACCUGAGAGGGUGAUCGGCCACACUGGAACUGAGACACGGUCCAGACUCCUACGGGAGGCAGCAGUGGGGAAUCUUCCGCAAUGGGCGAAAGCCUGACGGAGCAACGCCGCGUGAGUGAUGAAGGUCUUCGGAUCGUAAAACUCUGUUAUUAGGGAAGAACAUAUGUGUAAGUAACUGUGCACAUCUUGACGGUACCUAAUCAGAAAGCCACGGCUAACUACGUG